CGGACCCAGCCCAUUUGUUUAGGAGUGUCAGAAGUUUAAGCUUCAGUCUAGCAUAAAACAUUUUUUAUAAAAAUUAGUAAAAAGAUGGUCUAUAAUGGACUUGAACUCGGGAAUGAUGGGUCAAUAGAGGGAGCUUUUAGCCAACGAGGCAACAAUUUCUUCAUGUCCAAAGACCAAACUUUGGAAGUUUUGUAUUUAACCUGUGUCAGGUGACACCCCUUCCUAACACAUGGGUCUGCCUCUGAGUUCAGUGUGAAGGCCGGCCAAAACGUGGGCCAAGCACAAGUGAAGAGGGAUGAUUGCAAAGUAGACAACAACACCAACUCUUCUCAAACUUCAGGCUUUCUCCAGCAGAAAGGGGAGAAGGUGAAGAGCAUGGCACAGGGAGCAUCAGAUGCUGUUGAUAUUUGCCUAAGUGUUGAGAAGUCUCUAACCCAAGAAGAAGGUUUCAGAGUUACCAUUAAGACUAAAAGAAAGCAUGCAGAGCUCACGUGAUGUUUUAACGGUUUAGAGAGACAGAGGAGUAAUUAACCUCAGUCACUGCGAGUUGGCCUUUGUCUUCUUCCUCUGUACGGGAAAAGCAAAAGGAGAACAGAGGAGAGAGAGAGGAGCGUUGCACCGUCAUAGCAAUGCUAUAAAGCCGACAAAGAGCUGAAACAUUAAAGUUAAGAGAGGAAGUAGAGAAGCAGAUAACGGCCGCAAGGCUAGCGUUUCGUUAUAUCUCUAAAGGUUAUUUGUAACCAAGCUUUCUAGUGGAUUUCCGAGCAAGCCUCGGCCUAGACGUAGCGACCUUACACUGAGGCGUGA